AUUCCAGCUCCAAUAGCGUAUAUUAAUGUUGUUGCAGUUAAAAAGCUCGUAGUUGAAUUUCUGGUUAAAAUCUUAGCUGGCUUUGGUCGUUAAUGUUUUAAUCAUACGUUAGAGAACUAUAACCGUCCUUAACUGGUCAUUAUAGAGAUCUAACAUUUUACUUUGAAAAAAUUAGAGUGUUUCAAGCAGGCAAUUGCAGGAAUACAUUAGCAUGGAAUAACGAAUGGGUCUACAAUUUGGUUGAUUGUAGAUUGCGAUUAAUAGGGACAGUUGGGGGCAUUGGUAUUUAAUUGUCAGAGGUGAAAUUCUUGGAUUAGUUAAAGACUAACGUAUGCGAAAGCAUUUGCCAAGGAUGUUUUCAUCG
rnacentral:rRNA from 1 species